UACGUAGGGGGCAAGCGUUGUCCGGAAUCAUUGGGCGUAAAGAGCGUGUAGGCGGCCCGGUAAGUCUGUUGUGAAAGUCCAGGGCUCAACCCUGGAAAGCCGAUGGAUACUGCCGGGCUAGAGUUCGGAAGAGGCGAGUGGAAUUCCUGGUGUAGCGGUGGAAUGCGCAGAUAUCAGGAGGAACACCGAUGGCGGAGGCAGGUCACUGGGCCGCAACUGACGCUGAGGAGCGAAAGCAUGGGGAGCGAACAGG
rnacentral:rRNA from 1 species